CGGAUUCAUUUGGGAUGACUUAGUGGCGGACGGGUGAGUAACGCGUGGGUAACCUGCCCCAUAGAGGGGGACAACAGUUAGAAAUGACUGCUAAUACCGCAUAGUAGGACGAAACCGCAUGUUUUUGUCUUGAAAGCUUUAGCGCUAUGGGAUGGACCCGCGUCUGAUUAGUUAGUUGGUGAGGUAACGGCCCACCAAGGCGACGAUCAGUAGCCGGCUUGAGAGAGUGAACGGCCACAUUGGGACUGAGACACGGCCCAAACUCCUACGGGAGGCAGCAGUGGGGAAUAUUGCACAAUGGGGGAAACCCUGAUGCAGCGACGCCGCGUGAGUGAAGAAGUAUUUCGGUAUGUAAAGCUCUAUCAGCAGGAAAGAUAAUGACGGUACCUGACUAAGAAGCCCCGGCUAACUACGUGCCAGCAGCCGCGGUAAUACGUAGGGGGCAAGCGUUAUCCGGAUUUACUGGGUGUAAAGGGUGCGUAGGUGGCGGGGCAAGUCAGAUGUGAAAGCCCGGGGCUCAACCCCGGUACUGCAUUUGAAACUGUUCUGCUAGAGUGCCGGAGAGGUAAGUGGAAUUCCUAGUGUAGCGGUGAAAUGCGUAGAUAUUAGGAGGAACACCAGUGGCGAA
rnacentral:rRNA from 1 species